rnacentral:lncRNA from 1 species
AACCCAAACCAACAAAACUCGAACAAACAAACUCUCUCUCUUUAUUGAUUGUUACAGAUUCAGCGUUGACAGGGGUUGUUCUGAAUGUAACAGGAUCCCACGGCAGAUGUAAACCAGACUCCAGGCAUUUGCUGCGUGUUUUGCAAGGAGGUGUCAUGAAGGGCCUGGAAUCGUAGAAUGGUUGAGGAUCCAGGUGUGACAGCUGAGGCUCCAGAAAAUGGGAAUGCAACCAAACCAACCCAGAGGUUUCCUUCCAGGCCUUGCAAAGAUUUUUUUAGAGGAAUCUCCUCAACUAUGUGAGCUCUCUCUUGGAUGAGGUUGUGGCAUUUCGUCUUCAGAGCCAUCCAGUCAUCAAAAAGAUAUUUCCUCUCCCAAAAUGGAGUUUGUCAUCCUCAAAAACUGAUUGAACAU